rnacentral:rRNA from 1 species
CGCGUAGGCGGUUUUGUUAGUCGGAUGUGAAAUCCCCGGGCUUAACCUGGGAACCGCAUUCGAUACUGCAUAACUAGAGUAUGGUAGAGGGAAGUGGAAUUCCGGGUGUAGCGGUGAAAUGCGUAGAUAUCCGGAGGAACACCAGUGGCGAAGGCGACUUCCUGGGCCAAUACUGACGCUGAGGUGCGAAAGCGUGGGGAGCAAACA